rnacentral:lncRNA from 1 species
GUGAGAAUGGCUCACUGCACAAGGUCCACAUAUAUCCUUGUGUUGCAAUGUUAAGAUAAAAAGCCAAAUUCUACAGACAUCAGUAUAACAGGAGGGGCGUGAGCUUAGAUCUAUGUUUUUUACCGGCAGAGACAACCCUAGAAAUGUUGGGUUAUUAAAAUCACAUUCCCACCCCUCCCUCGGACCCAUGUCCCAAGGCCUGGUCUUGGCCUCCUCCCUGCCCACAGAGAGCUGUGUGACCCUGGGCAAGCUACCUCGUGGGGAAUUGUUUGUUCUAUUCUCUUACUAAGUUUUUAAAAGCUGAUUUCCAUUUUUCCCUCUGGGUGCAGAUGUUUUUUCUGACCUGGUUUAUGGGAUCCUUGACAAUUUUUAUUUCCAAGAGUUCAGUAAGUCAGGAUUUCCAUUAUAUCUUGUGAAAUGUGUGUAUUUAGAAAGGCUUUCUCAAAUCAAUGUCAUUUUUAAUGCUUCCUUCAGUCCCUUCAGUUUUUUCUCUCUGGUGUACGUUGAAUCCUUUUGAAUGAUUGAUUGAUUGGGAUCUUUAGUUUCUUCUCCACCUCGUUCUCUUCCUCUUUUUCUCCUUCUCCCCUCCCUCCCUUUCUAAUUUUAACAGGGGAACUGGUGUUGUGCUGUGUCAUCAAGAAGCUGCUUGUUUCAUGUCCCCAUAAGGGGUCCCGCCCCUCAUAUUUUGGCCAGGCUGUGCCCAGGAGGGCGGAGGGUGCCCAGAGGCCCUGGACUGGAGGAGCAGCAGAGAAGAGACAGGGCCCCUGAUGAUGCGGGAAGGGGUCUCAGACCUGGAGAAACUGAGAAACAGGGACCAUGAUCAGGAAAGUGUGGCCUCAAGAGGAGCUGGGGAGCAACUGGAGGAAGGUGGCAGAGGGAGGCUUGGAGCUGGGCCUCCAGGGACAAGUAACCCGUCACACGGUGAGGCCAGUGGGGAGGCACAUGCAUGGGGAGGGCAGCCUGUGCCAGGGAGGUGUCAGUCUCCUGCAGCAGGCCCUGUGGAGACAGAGAGGGUGAGGAACACGGGAGCUCGGGCAGUUGGGAGAGUCCAGGUGCUCGGCCAGGGACUUUCUUAACGCCCCUUUCCCUUCCCAGGGAGGGUGACUGCAGGCACACAGGGAGAUGUUGGGGAGAAUCUGUCUGCCCACGAGGAGGGGAGGGAUGCAUGCCUGGCCAAGCAGCUGGGCAGGGACAGGCUUCUCCAGGGUCCUCCCCUCUCCCACCAACAGCCUUUCCAGAAAGGGACCAAUCAGAGGCUAACAGAGGAGGAAGCCCUGGUGAGGACUCCAGCAGAGGAAGCACCAUCAGCAUCCACACCCAGCUGAGGCCCCAGACAAGGGCUGACCUGGCUUCUGGGGUCCUGCAGCUUUGGGGCAGAGAAGGGGC